rnacentral:SRP_RNA from 1 species
GCCAGGCAUGGUGGCUCAUGCCUGUAAUCCCAGCACUUUGGGAGGCUGAGGUGGGUGGAUCACCUGAGGUCAGGAGUUUGAGACCAGCCUGACCAACAUGGUGAAACCCCAUCUCUA